GACGAACGCUGGCGGCGUGCCUAAUACAUGCAAGUUGAGCGCUGAAGGUUGGUACUUGUACCGACUGGAUGAGCAGCGAACGGGUGAGUAACGCGUGGGGAAUCUGCCUUUGAGCGGGGGACAACAUUUGGAAACGAAUGCUAAUACCGCAUAACAACUUUAAACACAAGUUUUAAGUUUGAAAGAUGCAAUUGCAUCACUCAAAGAUGAUCCCGCGUUGUAUUAGCUAGUUGGUGAGGUAAAGGCUCACCAAGGCGAUGAUACAUAGCCGACCUGAGAGGGUGAUCGGCCACAUUGGGACUGAGACACGGCCCAAACUCCUACGGGAGGCAGCAGUAGGGAAUCUUCGGCAAUGGACGAAAGUCUGACCGAGCAACGCCGCGUGAGUGAAGAGGGUUUUCGGAUCGUAAAACUCUGUUGGUAGAGAAGAACGUUGGUGAGAGUGGAAAGCUCAUCAAGUGACGGUAACUACCCAGAAAGGGACGGCUAACUACGUGACAGCAGCCGCCGUAA
rnacentral:rRNA from 1 species